GUACGCUGGCGGCACGCCUAAUACAUGCAAGUCGAACGAAGUAGCAAUACUUAGUGGCAGACGGGUGAGUAAUAUGUAGGUAUCUUCCCAUUGGUGAGGAAUAACACGAGGAAACUUGUGCUAAUACCUCAUAAGUCUUUACGGAGAAAGCUUUAUGCGCCGAUGGAUGAGCCUGCACUUGAUUAGUUUGUUGGUAGGGUAAUGGCCUACCAAGACAAUGAUCAAUAGCUGAUUUGAGAGGAUGAUCAGCCACAUUGGGACUGAGACACGGCCCAAACUCCUACGGGAGGCAGCAGUAGGGAAUCUUGCACAAUGGGGGAAACCCUGAUGCAGCGAUGCCGCGUGAGUGAAGAAGGCCUUUGGGUUGUAAAGCUCUUUCGUCGGGGAAGAAAAUGACUGUACCCGAAUAAGAAGGUCCGGCUAACUUCGUGCCAGCAGCCGCGGUAAUACGAAGGGACCUAGCGUAGUUCGGAAUUACUGGGCUUAAAGAGUUCGUAGGUGGUUAAAAAAGUUGGUGGUGAAAUCCCAGAGCUUAACUCUGGAACUGCCAUCAAAACUUUUUAGCUAGAGUAUGAUAGAGGAAAGCAGAAUUUCUAGUGUAGAGGUGAAAUUCGUAGAUAUUAGAAAGAAUACCGAUUGCGAAGGCAGCUUUCUGGAUCAUUACUGACACUGAGGAACGAAAGCAUGGGUAGCGAAGAGGAUUAGAUACCCUCGUAGUCCAUGCCGUAAACGAUGUGUGUUAGACGUUGGAAAUUUAUUUUCUGUGUCGCAGCGAAAGCAAUAAACACACCGCCUGGGGAGUACGACCGCAAGGUUAAAACUCAAAUGAAUUGACGGGGACCCGCACAAGUAGUGGAGCAUGUGGUUUAAUUCGAAGAUACGCGCAGAACCUUACCAACACUUGACAUGUUCGUCGCGACUUUAAGAGAUUAAAGUUUUCGGUUCGGCCGGACGAAACACAGGUGCUGCAUGGCUGUCGUCAGCUCGUGUCGUGAGAUGUUGGGUUAAGUCCCGCAACGAGCGCAACCCUCACUUUUAGUUGCCAUCAUUUAGUUGGGCACUCUGAAAGAACUGCCAGUGAUAAGCUGGAGGAAGGUGGGGAUGACGUCAAGUCCUCAUGGCCCUUACGUGUUGGGCUACACACGUGCUACAAUGGCAUUUACAAUAGGAAGCAAGACGGCGACGUUUAGCAAAUCCUAAAAAAAUGCCUCAGUUCGGAUUGUACUCUGCAACUCGAGUACAUGAAGCUGGAAUUACUAGUAAUCGCGGAUCAGCGCGCCGCGGUGAAUACGUUCCCGGGUCUUGUACACACCGCCCGUCACACCAUGGGAGUUGGUUCUACCUUAAGGCAAAGUUUAAUACCUUUGACCACGGUAUAGUCAGCGACUGGGGUGAAGUCAUAACAAGGUAGCCGUA
rnacentral:rRNA from 1 species